CAGGCAUGAUGAGGAUCAAUUUAUUCAAACAUUAUCUGAUUAUCAUGAUGAUUUGAAACCUCCUACUCAUUCUGA